rnacentral:rRNA from 1 species
GUCUACAGCCAUACCACCCUGAACACGCCCGAUCUCGUCUGAUCUUGGAAGCUAAGCAGGGUCUGACCUGGUUAGUGCUUGGAUGGGAGAUAAGUGUAGACA